UGUUCNGUAACCUAGUUGAUGUCAGUAACC
rnacentral:piRNA from 1 species